rnacentral:rRNA from 1 species
CAAUAGCGUAUAUUAAAGUUGUUGCAGUUAAAAAGCUCGUAGUUGGAUUUCGGGGCAGCCUGGCUGGUCCGCCGCAAGGCGAGUACUGGUCAGCCGCCCUUCCUCUCGAAAGCCCCGACUGCUCUUCAUUGCAGUGGUCGGGUAGUUCGGGACGUUUACUUUGAAAAAAUUAGAGUGUUCAAGGCAGGCCUACGCCUGAAUACAUUAGCAUGGAAUAAUGGAAGAGGACCUCGGUCCUAUUUUGUUGGUUUCCAGGGCCGAAGUAAUGAUUAAGAGGGACAGUUGGGGGCAUUCGUAUUUAAUUGUCAGAGGUGAAAUUCUCGGAUUUAUGAAAGACGAACAACUGCGAAAGCAUCUGCCAAGGAUGUUUUCAUUAA